AUAACUCUUGAUUCAGGGAAUAUUUGGCAGAGAUCAGUGCCUGCUCAUCAAACUGUGGGAUCUCAAUGGGGUCCUCAGGCGUCAGUGCCAAGUCAAAGCCAAAUUGGGCAAGGACAGUCACCAUCCACAUGUUUAGUAUACAACCAAGGAGAUAAUCCAAUUUCCCAAGAAACUCAAACCUCAGGGACAAGUCUUACAGAGUCAGAGAUAUUACACAAUGAUCCCUCCAAACAAACAGCUGCAACUGCAGAUCCACCACCCAUCUCACAUGAGUCAGACUCUGGAUUGAGUUCAACCAGGAACAAUGACGUGGGUGUGGCUAUAGCUAGUAACUCUGCUGAUCAGUCAGAAGAUACUAGCACUCUUCCUGAGGUAAGUAUCAUCCACCUAAAGGUGACUUAACAUAUAAAUCAUGAAAGCUCCCUUUUGAAUGACACCCUCAGCUUAGGGAUUAAGGGAGACAAAAUUAGGUACUGGUGAAUGCGCAUUUGGAGGGAAAGUAUUAGACUUUCACAUGGGGGUAGGUUGUAAGGGAUAAGUUUAUGUUUGACUUCUAAAUGUCUACUCAGCAAACAAAAUUGUACGAGAAAAUGGGCCAAAACAAUUUCCUACAACUGCAUCCUUAGUCUGGUCUUCAUUCUCAGGAACUUAAAGCCUGAUCAAUUCAUGUUCAUUUAGAGCAUCUGGGUGGAUAGAGGUUAACAGCAUGGCAGUUUUCAGCAAUUUACAUUUUCAUCAGAGCUUUCACAAUCAAUCUUUAAGACUUGCAGUAAUUUCAUAUAUAUCCCAAGAAUUAAUGACCAUGCAAUUUCUUUAAUUUUGUUUCCAAAUUAAGUGAACUCAUUUUUGAGAGUAUUCAGAUUUUUAUUGAGAUUUGUACCAAAUUUGAUCGUGUAAGAGAGAUCGAGUUGGAGAUUUGUUGCUUAUACCCUCAUGCCUCAUAAUGGCACAAUUGAUAUAUGGACCUGAAAUGCCCUAUCUUCUAUGGGAACAAAAGGCAAUUCCAACUCCAGGGUCAUUCUUAAUUUUUUUAGUGCGCAUGUAUGUUAGUACCGUAAUACUUGGUACGGACAACUCAUCUUAUCUUAUCAACUUAUCUUCUUCUUAACUGAUUAUUUCAUUAAUGAAUAAUUCUUCAGCACAGAUGUAGAUAAACAGAUAAAAGAAAGAUAAAGUUCUUGGGCUUAUAAUGGGCAAGAACAAUACAAGA